GGCCCUGCCGGAUCUUCUCGUCGAUGUCCCCGAACCUGAAGGCGCACAGCGCGGCCCUCCGGUCCACCUUGGCGAACACUCCGAACAGAUCAAAGAUGAGUCCCGUGUUGACUUAACAUGACAUGAAUCUCCACGCGCGCGUGAGUUCAUCCCGAUGGAAUCGUGACCAUGAAGCCGGCACUGUGGCUUUUUCAAGGACCACUUGAUGAGGAGGAGCACCCCCCUCCUCCUCCUCCUCCUCCUCCUCCUCCAGGUUCCGCUCCUCUUCGGGGUUAAUGCCGGGUCACCGUCCCACCUCCUGUGCCCCCCACUCCACAUCGGCUCCAGCGAUUAGUUCUGCCGGUCCGGAGGACUCCGUGUGUGUGUGUGUGUGUGUUGUUGGGGCACACACGGCUCGGUAAGCAGCGUGAAAGUGCUGCCAGAUGGGCACACCGGCGCACCUUUCCGGCUUUUGACAGUCAAAUCCAUCCAACGCGGCUUUCUUGCGCUCUAUACCUCAUAAAUAUUCAAGUGUAACACAUGCCGCCGCCCCCCCCCACCCCCACACACACGCACACACUUAGAAAUGCACGAAUAUGGUUCGCACUGUUUUCCUCUGUCUGGACUGUGCAUCAGCUCACGUCUCUGAACACGCGCCAUCAUUAAAGUCCGCUAACUUGC